AUGGCUCCACCCCGCGCCGGCGCCGGCGCCGUGCUGCUCGUGGUGGUGGCGCUCCUCUUCGUCGACGCAGCAGCGGCCGCCGGCGGCGGCAUGAAGAUGGCGACACACGGCGAGGGCGCGAAUCUCAAGGCAUCUCCCGGCGCGUCCGCGCCGCCUGCGGCGGGCGGCUCGGCGGAGCAGUUCCGGGGCAAGGCGCGGCUGCCGAGCUUCGCCGCGCCGCGCCGCUACGAGCUCUUCCUCCGCCCCGACCUCGUCGCCUGCACCUUCUCCGGCUCGGUGGCCAUCUCCGUCGCCGUCUCCGCGCCCACCCGCUUCCUCGUGCUCAACGCGCUCGACCUCUCCGUCAACCGCGCCUCCAUCCGCUUCCAGGCUUUGGCGCCCACGGAGGUGGUGUUCUUCAAGGAUGACGGCGUGUUGGUGCUCGGGUUCGCCAAGCAGCUGCCCCUCGGCGAGGGCGUGCUCAAGAUGGACUUCACCGGCAUUCUCAACGACCAGAUGAGAGGCUUCUACAGGAGCAAGUACCAGUAUAAGGGGAAAGAGAGAAACAUGGCGGUGACACAGUUUGAGUCCGUGGAUGCGCGGCGGUGCUUCCCCUGCUGGGAUGAGCCUGCAUUCAAGGCUAAGUUCAAGCUAACACUUGAAGUUCCAUCUGAGCUGGUAGCACUGUCCAACAUGCCAGUAGCUAACGCGACAUUUGCUGGUCCUAUCAAAACUGUGCAUUACCAGGAAUCGCCACCUAUGUCAACUUAUUUAGUGGCCAUAGUUGUCGGUUUGUUUGAAUAUGUAGAGGGUAUGACAACAAAAGGCACGAGAGUUCGUGUGUACACUCAAAUUGGUAAGAGUAACCAAGGGAAGUUUGCACUAGAUGUUGGAGUGAAGUCGUUGAAUCUCUAUAAAGAUUACUUUGACACUCCUUUUCCACUCCCCAAGUUGGAUAUGGUUGCUAUCCCCGAUUUUGCUGCUGGAGCCAUGGAGAACUACGGAUUGGUCACUUACCGGGAAGUAGCUUUGCUUUUCGAUGACAAGUCUUCAUCAGCAUCCAGCAAACAGAGUGUUGCAAUUACUGUGGCACAUGAAUUGGCUCAUCAAUGGUUUGGCAAUCUUGUAACCAUGGAAUGGUGGACUCACUUGUGGUUAAAUGAGGGAUUUGCUACAUGGAUGAGCCAUCUAGCAGUAGAUUCUUUUUUUCCACAAUGGAAUAUAUGGGCACAGUUUCUUGAUCGCACAACCACUGCUCUCAGGCUGGAUUCACUCGAGGCGUCUCAUCCUAUUGAGGUUGAAAUACACCAUGCCAGUGAAGUUGAUCAGAUUUUUGAUGCUAUUAGCUAUGACAAGGGUGCUUCUGUUAUUCGCAUGCUACAAAGUUACCUUGGCGCAGAGCGUUUUCAGAAAGCAAUGGCUUCAUAUAUGAAGAAAUAUGCAUACUCAAAUGCUAAAACCGAGGACCUGUGGGCUGUUCUUGAAAAGGAAACUGGUGAACCUGUCAAGGAUUUGAUGACUACAUGGACGAAGCAAAAAGGUUAUCCUGUUAUUAAUGCGAAAAUUAAAGGGAAUGACAUAGAGAUUGAGCAGGCCCAGUUUUUGUUAGAUGGGUCCUCUGGCUCUGGCAUGUGGAUUGUCCCUCUAACUUCACGCUGUGGUGCAUAUGAUACAGAGAAAAAGUUGUUGUUGAAACUUAAACGUGAGAAGCUGGUCAUUGGUUCACAAUGUGGUGACCGAAAGAAGGGCGGAAACUUCUGGACUAAGUUGAAUAUAGAUGGAACUGGAUUUUACAGAGUUAAAUAUGACGAUGAGCUUGCAGCUGCACUUCAAAAUGCAUUGGAGACCAAGAAGCUCUCACUAAUGGAUAAAAUUGGCAUCGUGGAUGACUUGUAUGCGCUUUCUAUUGCCCGCCAACAAACAUUUGCGUCGUUGCUACAUUUACUGUACGGUUAUCGCGGGGAAGCUGAUUAUAGUGUUCUUUCACACAUAAACACUGUAACCACAAGUAUUGCUAAAAUAUCUGCUGAUGCUACUCCUGCCUUGGCUGGUGACAUCAAGCAACUUUUGAUCAAGAUUCUUUUGUCACCUGCAGAAAAGUUAGGCUGGGACCCCAAGAAGGGUGAGAGCCACCUGGAUGUAAUGCUUAGACCACUGCUGUUGACUGCACUUGUCCAACUUGGACAUGGUAAGACCAUUAAUGAAGGAGUUAGGCGCUUUAACAUCUUCACACGUGAUCGCGGCACUUCUCUUCUUCCUCCGGAUACUAGAAAGGCCGCAUACCUUGCUGUGAUGCAGAAUGUUAGUAGUUCAAACAGAUCCGGUUAUGAUGCUCUCCGAAAAAUCUACAAGGAGUCAGCUGAAGGGGAGGAAAGAUUACAAGUCUUAGGCAUAUUAUCUUCUUGCCGGGACAAGGGUAUCGUCCUUGAAUCACUGAAUUUAAUUUUCACUAGCGAGGUUCGCAAUCAAGAUGCAUAUAUUCUCCUUAGAGGUAUUCAACCAGAGGCACGUGAAAUUUCGUGGAACUGGUUGAAGGAAAACUGGGAGCUUAUCUCAAAGACAUUUGCCGGGAGCUUGAUUACGGAUUUUGUUGAAACCAUUGUUCCAUUGUUCACCUCCAACGAGAAGGCGGCAGAGAUCUCCAAGUUCUUUGCAACGCGCACAAAGCCCGGAUUCGAGAGGACGCUGAAGCAGAGCCUUGAAAACGUGCGGAUCAGUGCGAGAUGGGCCGAGGGCAUCAGGAGUGAGCCCGGGCUUGCACAGACGGUGCGUGAGCUCCUGGCCAAGCCCUGA
rnacentral:rRNA from 1 species